rnacentral:rRNA from 1 species
UACGUAGGGGGCAAGCGUUGUCCGGAUUUAUUGGGCGUAAAGAGCGUGUAGGCGGCCAUACAGGUCAGCUGUGAAAACUCGAGGCUCAACCUCGAGACGUCGGUUGAAACCGUUUGGCUAGAGUCCGGAAGAGGAGAGUGGAAUUCCCGGUGUAGCGGUGAAAUGCGCAGAUAUCGGGAAGAACACCUGUGGCGAAAGCGGCGCACUGGACCACAACUGACGCUGAGGCGCGAAAGCUAGGGGAGCAAACAGG